rnacentral:rRNA from 1 species
CGGUAAUUCCAGCUCCAAUAGCGUAUACUAAAGUUGUUGCAGUUAAAAAGCUCGUAGUUGGAUUUCUGCGGGGACGGAGCGGCCGGACGCAACUUGCGUCUCGAGCUAGCGCUUUCCCCGCAUCCUGCCGCGAACCGUGCUACCAUUAGCUUGGUGGCGCUGGGGAUCGGCUCGAUUACUUUGAGAAAAAUAGAGUGUUCAAAGCAGGCCACACGCCUUGAAUAAGUUAGCAUGGAAUAAUGACUAAGGACUUCGGUUCUAUUUUGUUGGUGUUCGGGACUGAAGUAAUGAUUGAUAGGGACAGUUGGGGCGGUCUGUAUUCCAAAGCGAGAGGUGAAAUUCUUAGACCUUCGGAAGACAAACAGCUGCGAAAGCGUUCCGCAAGGAUGUUCCCUUUGAUCAAGAACGAAAGUUGGGGGAUCGAAGACGAUCAGAUACCGUCGUAGUCUCAACUAUAAACUAUACCAGCUAGGGAUCGGUCAACGUUUAAUCAUUCGACUUGAUCGGCACCUUAUGAGAAAUCAAAGCAUCUGGGUUCCGGGGGGAGUAUGGUCGCAAGGCUGAAACUUAAAGGAAUUGACGGAAGGGCACCACCAGCCGUGGAGCCUGUGGCUUAAUUUGACUCAACACGGGAAAACUUACCAGGUCCAGACAUAGUAAGGAUUGACAGAUUGAUAGCUCUUUCUUGAUUCUGUGGGUGGUGGUGCAUGGCCGUUCUUAGUUGGUGGAGUGAUUUGUCUGGUUAAUUCCGUUAACGAACGAGACCCCAGCCUGCUAAAUAGCGCGGCUGAGCUUUGCUCGGUGCGAGCUUCUUAGAGGGACUAUGAUGCGCGAUAGCACAUGGAAGUUUGGGGCAAUAACAGGUCUGUGAUGCCCUUAGAUGUUCUGGGCCGCACACGGGCUACACUGGCGCCUGCAACGAGCAUAUCAGCUGGCCCGAGAGGGUCUUGGCUAAUCUUUUGAACCGGCGCCGUGCUUGGGAUUGACCAUUGCAAUUGUUGGUCAUGCAACGAGGAAUGCCUUGUAAACGCGAGUCAUCAGCUCGCAUUGAAUACGUCCCUGCCCUUUGUACACACCGCCC